CCUAAUACAUGCAAGUAGAACGCUGAAGAGAGGAGCUUGCUCUUCUUGGAUGAGUUGCGAACGGGUGAGUAACGCGUAGGUAACCUGCCUUGUAGCGGGGGAUAACUAUUGGAAACGAUAGCUAAUACCGCAUAACAAUGGAUGACACAUGUCAUUUAUUUGAAAGGGGCAAUUGCUCCACUACAAGAUGGACCUGCGUUGUAUUAGCUAGUAGGUGAGGUAACGGCUCACCUAGGCGACGAUACAUAGCCGACCUGAGAGGGUGAUCGGCCACACUGGGACUGAGACACGGCCCAGACUCCUACGGGAGGCAGCAGUAGGGAAUCUUCGGCAAUGGGGGCAACCCUGACCGAGCAACGCCGCGUGAGUGAAGAAGGUUUUCGGAUCGUAAAGCUCUGUUGUAAGUCAAGAACGAGUGUGAGAGUGGAAAGUUCACACUGUGACGGUAGCUUACCAGAAAGGGACGGCUAACUACGUGCCAGCAGCCGCGGUAAUACGUAGGUCCCGAGCGUUGUCCGGAUUUAUUGGGCGUAAAGCGAGCGCAGGCGGUUUGAUAAGUCUGAAGUUAAAGGCUGUGGCUCAACCAUAGUUCGCUUUGGAAACUGUCAAACUUGAGUGCAGAAGGGGAGAGUGGAAUUCCAUGUGUAGCGGUGAAAUGCGUAGAUAUAUGGAGGAACACCGGUGGCGAAAGCGGCUCUCUGGUCUGUAACUGACGCUGAGGCUCGAAAGCGUGGGGAGCGAACAGGAUUAGAUACCCUGGUAGUCCACGCCGUAAACGAUGAGUGCUAGGUGUUGGAUCCUUUCCGGGAUUCAGUGCCGCAGCUAACGCAUUAAGCACUCCGCCUGGGGAGUACGACCGCAAGGUUGAAACUCAAAGGAAUUGACGGGGGCCCGCACAAGCGGUGGAGCAUGUGGUUUAAUUCGAAGCAACGCGAAGAACCUUACCAGGUCUUGACAUCCCGAUGCUAUUUCUAGAGAUAGAAAGUUACUUCGGUACAUCGGUGACAGGUGGUGCAUGGUUGUCGUCAGCUCGUGUCGUGAGAUGUUGGGUUAAGUCCCGCAACGAGCGCAACCCCUAUUGUUAGUUGCCAUCAUUCAGUUGGGCACUCUAGCGAGACUGCCGGUAAUAAACCGGAGGAAGGUGGGGAUGACGUCAAAUCAUCAUGCCCCUUAUGACCUGGGCUACACACGUGCUACAAUGGUUGGUACAACGAGUUGCGAGUCGGUGACGGCAAGCUAAUCUCUUAAAGCCAAUCUCAGUUCGGAUUGUAGGCUGCAACUCGCCUACAUGAAGUCGGAAUCGCUAGUAAUCGCGGAUCAGCACGCCGCGGUGAAUACGUUCCCGGGCCUUGUACACACCGCCCGUCACACCACGAGAGUUUGUAACACCCGAAGUCGGUGAGGUAACCUUUUGGAGCCAGCCGCCUAAGGUGGGA
rnacentral:rRNA from 1 species